UACGUAGGGUGCAAGCGUUAAUCGGAAUUACUGGGCGUAAAGCGCGCGCAGGCGGAUGUUUAAGUAGGGCGUGAAAUCUCCCGGCCUAACUGGGAGGGGUCGCUCUAGACUGGGCGUCUUGAGGACUGCAGAGGUGGGUGGAAUUCCUGGUGUAGUGGUGAAAUGCGUAGAGAUCAGGAGGAACACCGGUGGCGAAGGCGGCCCACUGGGCAGUCACUGACGCUGAGGCGCGAAAGCUUGGGGAGCGAACGGG
rnacentral:rRNA from 1 species